rnacentral:rRNA from 1 species
GACGAACGCUGGCGGCGUGCUUAACACAUGCAAGUCGAACGGAAAGGCCCUGCUUUUGUGGGGUGCUCGAGUGGCGAACGGGUGGGUAACACGUGAGUAACCUGCCCUUGACUUUGGGAUAACUUCAGGAAACUGGGGCUAAUACCGGAUAGGAGCUCCUGCUGCAUGGUGGGGGUUGGAAAGUUUCGGCGGUUGGGGAUGGACUCGCGGCUUAUCAGCUUGUUGGUGGGGUAGUGGCUUACCAAGGCUUUGACGGGUAGCCGGCCUGAGAGGGUGACCGGCCACAUUGGGACUGGGAUACGGCACAGACUCCUACGGGAGGCAGCAGUGGGGAAUAUUGCACAAUGGGCGGAAGCCUGAUGCGGCAACGCCGCGUGCGGGAUGACGGCCUUCGGGUUGUAAACCGCUUUCGCCUGUGACGAAGCGUGAGUGACGGUAAUGGGUAAAGAAGCACCGGCUAACUACGUG